GCGGCCAUGCUGGAAUAGGCAGACAGGCAUGUUUGAGGGGCAUGUGUCGAGAGACGUGUGGGUUCAAGUCCCACUGGCCGCACCA
rnacentral:tRNA from 1 species